UGGGGAAUCUUGCGCAAUGGGCGAAAGCCUGACGCAGCAACGCCGCGUGGGGGAUGAAGGCUUUCGGGUUGUAAACCCCUUUCAGCAGGGACGAUUAUGACGGUACCUGCAGAAGAAGGACCGGCCAACUACGUGCCAGCAGCCGCGGUAAUACGUAGGGUCCAAGCGUUGUCCGGAUUUAUUGGGCGUAAAGAGCUCGUAGGUGGUUCGCUAAGUCGGAUGUGAAAACUCGGGGCUCAACCCCGAGACGCCAUCCGAUACUGGCGUGACUUGAGUCUGGUAGGGGAGAUGGGAAUUCCUGGUGUAGCGGUGAAAUGCGCAGAUAUCAGGAGGAACACCGAUGGCGAAGGCACAUCUCUGGGCCAGUACUGACACUGAGGAGCGAAAGCGUGGGUAGCAAACAGG
rnacentral:rRNA from 1 species